rnacentral:rRNA from 1 species
GACGAACGCUGGCGGCGUGCUUAACACAUGCAAGUCGAACGGAAAGGCCCUGCUUUUGUGGGGUGCUCGAGUGGCGAACGGGUGAGUAACACGUGAGUAACCUGCCCUUGACUUUGGGAUAACUUCAGGAAACUGGGGCUAAUACCGGAUAGGAGCUCCUGCUGCAUGGUGGGGGUUGGAAAGUUUCGGCGGUUGGGGAUGGACUCGCGGCGUAUCAGCUUGUUGGUGGGGUAGUGGCUUACCAAGGCUUUGACGGGUAGCCGGCCUGGGAGGGUGACCGGCCACAUUGGGACUGGAAUACGGCCCAGACUCCUACGGGAGGCAGCAGUGGGGAAUAUUGCACAAUGGGCGGAAGCCUGAUGCAGCAACGCCGCGUGCGGGAUGACGGCCUUCGGGUUGUAAACCGCUUUCGCCUGUGACGAAGCGUGAGUGACGGUAAUGGGUAAAGAAGCACCGGCUAACUACGUG